rnacentral:rRNA from 1 species
GAUGAACGCUGGCGGCGUGCCUAAUACAUGCAAGUCGAGCGAACAGACGAGGAGCUCGCUCUUCUGACGUUAGCGGCGGACGGGUGAGUAACACGUAGAUAACCUACCUAUAAGACUGGGAUAACUUCGGGAAACCGGUUCUGCUACCGCAUCACAUGAUGAACCGCAUGGUUCAACAGUUCAAGACGGUCUUGCCGUCACUUUUAGAUGGUUCCGCGCCGCAUUAGCUAGUUGGUAAGGUCACGGCUUACCAAGGCCACGAUGCGUAGCCGACCUGAGAGGGUGAUCGGCCACACUGGAACUGAGACACGGUCCAGACUCCUACGGGAGGCAGCAGUGGGGAAUCUUCCGCAAUGGGCGAAAGCCUGAUGGAGCAACGCCGCGUGAGUGAAGAAGGUCUUCGGAUCGUAAAGCUCUGUUGUUAGGGAAGAACAAAUGUGUAAUUAACUAUGCACGUCUUGACGGUACCUAAAGAGAAAGCCACGGCUAACUACGUG